rnacentral:rRNA from 1 species
AUGCAGCGCUAUGCGCUCGAGGAGGAACUCAUGGUCAUUUGCGUGGACGAGGAGUGCUAUUGGUGCCACCACGGUACGCAACGUUGAGUGUUGCAAGGAGACGCGAACACGACAUACUUCCAAGCGACCGCCAACGGCCCUAGACGUCGCAACACCAUCCCCUUUCUUUGGGUGGGUGAUGCGCUUCUCGAUGACCCGUCGGCCAUCCAUGCCCACAUGGACGGGUUCUUCAAAGACCUAUUCUCCCUGUCGGCUCUAGGUGGGGCGGCCCUCGCCCCGGAUAUUUGCCCCCACCCCCACCGAGUCUCUGCCGAUGCCAAUGCGGCUCUCAUGGCUCAUUUCGAGGAGGAUGAGGUGUGGGCGACGAUCAAGGGCAUGAACCCUGAUUCUGCUCCGGGCCCCGACGAUCUCCCGGUGCGCUUCUUCCAUGUGUUCUGGCCGGCCAUGAAACACGAGCUUAUGGCCAUGUUCCAGGAGUGUUUCGUGGGAGUCUUACAUCUAUCACGCCUCAACUACGGGAUUAUGACUCUUAUCCCUAAGGUGCUGGGCGCAUCGGACAUCCGACAGUUCCAGCCGAUCACGAUGAUCAAUGUGGUCUUCCGCAUUAUCACCAAGGCUUACACCAAUAGGGACCUCUUGGCAGACACCUUGACACACCCCAACCAAUCCACCUUCAUUCAAGGUUGUUUCAUUCUGGAUGGGGUGCUUCUAUUUCAUGAAGUCCUUCACGAAGCAAAAGGUUGCCUUAAGAUCGACUUCCAUAAGGCCUAUGACACGCUACAUUGGCCCUUCCUACGAGAAGUCCUACUUCCCAAGGGCUUCGAUGACCGCUGGGUGACGCGCGUCAUGUAA